rnacentral:rRNA from 1 species
CCUACGGGUGGCAGCAGUGAGGAAUAUUGGUCAAUGGGCGUAAGCCUGAACCAGUCAAGUCGCGUGAGGGAUGAAGGUUCUAUGGAUCGUAAACCUCUUUUAUAAGGGAAUAAAGUGUGGGACGUGUCCUAUUUUGUAUGUACCAUAUGAAUAAGGAUCGGCUAACUCCGUGCCAGCAGCCGCGGUAAUACGGAGGAUCCGAGCGUUAUCCGGAUUUUUUGGGUUUAAGGGGUUCGUAGGCGGCCUUUAAAGUCAGCGGUGAAAGUCUGUGGCUCAACCAUAGAAUUGCCGUUGAAACUGGGGGGCUUGAGUAUGUUUGAGGCAGGCGGAAUGCGUGGUGUAGCGGUGAAAUGCUUAGAUAUCACGCAGAACCCCGAUUGCGAAGGCAGCCUGCCAAGCCAUGACUGACGCUGAUGCACGAAAGCGUGGGGAUCAAACAGGAUUAGAUACCCCUGUAGUC